UCUGGUGACCAUGGCGAAGGUUUAAAACCUGUUCCCAUUCCGAACACAGACGUGAAGCCCUUCAGCGGCGAUGGUACUUUGGCUUAAGCCACGGGAGAGUAGCACAUUGCCAGGU
rnacentral:rRNA from 1 species